GCGGGCGGCGGGCUGGCCGUGAUGCGCAGCUUUGUGCGUCCUGCAUUUGCCCUCGGGGCGUUGUGUUGUUCCUUUGCCUAAAACCGUGGGCUGCCUGCCUGCUCCUCCUUCUCCGACUGGUUAUGAGCAGGAAAAGUGAAGCCGAGAGCAGAGGAUUUUAAGGAGUUCAAAUAAAAAGGGCUGCCAUGAAGCGUUUGUGAAGCUACUGCGCCAGCCUGCCCUGUGAUGGGAGUUCAUUCAAAGGCCAUGUUGUUUCAGGACAAGCAUCAGUAGCAAUUACCACUUCCAGCUUUUCUCUGGAAGUGUGAGUUUUUGCCAGGGGCUCCAGAGUCGCUCUGCUAGCUUCAGCCUCAGAAAGAAAGAUCGGUUAUUCUCAGUUUCCUCUGUCAGUUCGUAAUGCUUAAAUUUCAGAUCGAAAUUGUACUCUCAGUGGCUAUUGUGGGGCUGUGCAUUUGAAAAAAUAUCUGGAUCUUUCCCACUAUGAUCAUCUUUCAGCUGGUCGGUGUGUGAUGCUAUGUAAAACAGCCACCAUGCUUGCCUACGUUAGAGGCACUACCAGAGAAUAAAGAAUUUCACUGCCAUGAUGACUCAGCACAUGAAUAGCUUAUAAUGAUCUGGUUCUCUGACCUUUUCCCCAGCCUCUAAGAAGCUUUCAAAAGCUAUUUAUUCUUUAUGGAAUUUGUGAUUUAAAAACAAAACAAAAAAACCAACUUGACAGCUAUGAAUGACAGUACAUAGAGAUGGAUUAAAAAAAAAAAGAAUUCAAAAUGAGAAAAGAUGAGAUUUUGUACAGUUUUUCAGAUUUUUGUUCUGAUUAGGUUUUACAAAUAUGGACUUUUUUUUGCCUGUUUGCACAGACAGCCAAAUAAACUGUGAUCUGAAUUUUGUACCAAACCUCUAAAACCUGAGUACUAAAGUGAUGAAAAUCAUAAUGCC